rnacentral:rRNA from 1 species
AACGCGAAGAACCUUACCUGGGUUUGACAUAUGCCGGAAAGCCGUAGAGAUACGGCCCCUUUUAGUCGGUAUACAGGUGGUGCAUGGCUGUCGUCAGCUCGUGUCGUGAGAUGUUGGGUUAAGUCCCGCAACGAGCGCAACCCUCGUUCUAUGUUGCCAGCACGCCUUUCGGGGUGGUGGGGACUCAUAGGAGACUGCCGGGGUCAACUCGGAGGAAGGUGGGGAUGACGUCAAGUCAUCAUGCCCCUUAUGUCCAGGGCUUCACGCAUGCUACAAUGGCCGGUACAAAGGGCUGCGAAACUGUAAGGUGGAGCGAAUCCCAAAAAGCCGGUCUCAGUUCGGAUUGGGGUCUGCAACUCGACCCCAUGAAGUCGGAGUCGCUAGUAAUCGCAGAUCAGCAACGCUGCGGGGAAUACGUUCCCGGGCCUUGUACACACCG